AUGAGGCUCCUGGGUCUUCUCCUGUGCCUGGUCACAGCUCCCCAAGGGGAGUGUGUCCUGGGUCAGGUGCAGCUGCAGGAGUCAGGACCUGGCCUGGUGAAGCCCUCGCAGACCCUGUCCCUCACCUUUACUGUGUCUGGUUACUCCAUCUCUAGUGGUUACUGCUGGCACUGGAUCCGUCAGCCCCCAGGCAAGGGGCUGGAGUGGAUAGGGUACAUAAAUAGUGGUGGUGGCACUAACUACAGCCCAUCCCUCAAGAACCGAGUGUCCAUCUCCAGAGACACGUCCAAGAACCACUUCUCCCUGCAGCUGAGCUCCCUGACCACCCAGGACACGGCCACCUAUUACUGUGCCAGAGACACAGUGAGGGGACCUCAGUGUGAGCCCUGACACAAACCUCCCUGCAGGGAGCCCAGGGCCAGCAGGGGGCGCUCAGCA